rnacentral:tRNA from 9 species
GACUUAAAAUCCGUCGACUUUAUAAGUCGUGAGG